CAAGCCCGUCCCGCCGCGCUGGGCCCCGCCGGAGCCGCCGCCACAACCGCGCGAAAUAAUCCCUCGCUGGGAGGCAGCGAGCAGGCGGAGGAGGACGAAAGCGAGCGCGCAACGCCGCUCCGCGGCGGAGGGAUCCCGCGAUUCCUGCUGCGAGAGGGUCCUUGAAAAUCCCACAGGCUCUGUGUGUCCUUUCCACGCAGCAAUCCCUGUCAAGUGCAAACCGUGUGCGCUUCCUUUUCCUGCCAUGCCCAGCAUUGUCCAUCAGAAGACGAGAUACGCAGAAAACAGAGGAAUGGCUCUCAGUCCUUCAGGAAAGGACAUGCAGCAGCUGUCACUGGAUGUCUCAGUCAGCAGAGGGAAGAGGGUCCAUUUCUUCAGCGCUGGACAUAUCUACUUUAGUUCUCACCUGCUGAACUCUUGUACUUGGAUUUCCUGUGCGAAAGAAGCUAUUUCACUUUUUUAUCCCUCCACAGAGUCAACAGUAGAACUUCUGCUGUUGAAAUGAGAGGGGAAGCUUUAUAUUUAGGAGGCUGCUGGUUAAAAGGCCAUUUGAGUUACCCGGAUCAAGUUCAUGCCUAGCGCUCCCAGCCCACAGGACUCCUCCCCAUGAACCUUUUCAGAGCUUUUGUCUAUCACCUUUUAAAAGUUCCCCAGUUCCUUUAGGAGGCUGUUUGGUGCUUGCCAUUGAAUGGGUGGAAGUUUUUUGCAUGUUUGGCGUUUUUUAAACCUCCCAAAUGUGGCUUAAAUCUUAGCGCUUCUGUCAAAAAACCUGGAAAUUCUGAAACUUCUCCCCAUAUGACUUGCAAAGCCAUAGGUGAACCUGCUGCUGUCUUGGUCUCGCUGGGUAUGAGUUCAUCAGUUGUGACAGACCCCCUUCCCUCGCAUGGGUUCCACCCAAAGACACCUCUUCUCCAUUUUUGGGAUUGAAUGCCAUCCUAGGACGUUAUGCUGAGAGAAAACAUACUUCUGUAUGUCAACAUGUGUAAAACCUGUGUCCUGCAGCUCUACCCUAAACCCCCAGAUCUCCUUUUCUGCUGGGAUGCAGUGACAGGAGCAAUCGCUUUGCAUUCUGUCUGCUCUGUUAUACGGAAAGGCAAGAUACAUGUUGCUGUUGCGCAUUCACACAACUAA